rnacentral:misc_RNA from 1 species
CCCAAACACAAUAUUAAAUUUCAGCAAUAUACACAUUCCAACACAAGUCGGUUGGCAAACCAAAGGGCAAAGUUUUCCAUGCCACAUCUUACCAGAUAAAUUAGUAAAUAUUAAAAUCAAAGCAAACAAACAUAUAAUCCAAUAAAUCAGAGAUAAUAAUCUUGAUCCCUGAUUUUCAAGGGCACUUGGGUCCUCCUCUCUUGGUCUUCCAGUUGUUAUAGCAGGGACAGACUCCCUUGUUCCCGUAGAACCCCGGCGGCACACAGAGGCAAGCAGUGCAGCACUUGUUGCAGAAGAACAGGCAUGGCUUCUUGUACUGUGUCUGCGAGCAACGUCUAGAGCACUGACUCGGGCAUUGAUAACUCCGAAGGCUUCCGGGGCCACUCUGAGUCAAUUGGUAAACUGCAUCAGCAUGUGCAUGUUGGGCAGUCCUGUCACCCAGGGACUCACAGUGGACCACCAUAAUGGCAAGGAGGGCAAUGGCCAGGAAGACAAAAAGCUUACCUGUUGCCAUUGCUAAUCAAUGGAGAGAGGAGGAGGAGAGAGA